rnacentral:rRNA from 1 species
AGAGUUUGAUCCUGGCUCAGAACGAACGCUGGCGGCAGGCCUAACACAUGCAAGUCGAACGAUGCCUUCGGGCAUAGUGGCGCACGGGUGAGUAACACGUGGGAACAUACCUUUUGGUGGGGGAUAACUUCGGGAAACUGAAGCUAAUACCGCAUACGCCCCUUGGGGGAAAGAUUUAUCGCCGAAAGAUUGGCCCGCGUCCGAUUAGCUAGUUGGUGAGGUAAUGGCUCACCAAGGCUCCGAUCGGUAGCUGGUCUGAGAGGAUGACCAGCCACACUGGGACUGAGACACGGCCCAGACUCCUACGGGAGGCAGCAGUGGGGAAUAUUGGACAAUGGGCGCAAGCCUGAUCCAGCCAUGCCGCGUGAGUGAUGAAGGCCUUAGGGUUGUAAAGCUCUUCACCCACGACGAUGAUGACGGUAGUGGAGAGA